GCUCAGACAAAUACAAAAACAGUAAAAAGCUUCAUUUUCCUCAUCAAUCUCUAGAACAACUUUCAGAGCCUCAAUGUGUACCAAUGGGAAGCUCAGUCUCCGAUGAGUGUGCUUUUAAAAUGACAGCUAGACCAGCUAGAAAAUGUAGUAAAGUUAAAGCUGUUCUGGAUGUGGGUUCUCAGGACAAUCUGACAAUUGAUGCUUCUCAGCAGCUCAAGGCUGGGCCAGAAGCAGCACAUACACAUUAUUGUUCUCUAAAUGUAACGACUGCGCCUCAAAUUGAGCCCUCAAAUAACAGGUUAGAGCACCUUAAUGACUGCAAUGCAACUGAACAGCAUUCACGUAAGUUGGAAAUUGAGAAGACUGUCAACAAGCCAGAGUUACAGCCUCACUUUCCCUUUGGGGAUUAUUGGUCAGACCCAUGCUAUGAAUUUGCAUUCAAGACCCUUGCAGGUGCAAUACCAGUAGAUAAUUUGCCAGUUCAGAGUUACUUCCA
rnacentral:misc_RNA from 1 species